CAGCUGGACAACUUAUGCAAAUUGAUUUACAUUGUUCUUUUCCAACAAUUCUGUGGAUUAAAUUUUUGGAACCUUCUGUUGGUUUGAUAGCACGAUCCAAAAAACCUCAUCCUCUAGAAAGUUCUUGGACACCAAUUGAAAAAGUUCUAAAAUCUUUUCAAUAUAAAAGAAAUGAACAAAUUUCAAUUGAAAGAAAUCAGUUUCCAGUUGUUCCGGCUGAGGGAAUAACUAUGUAUAUAUAAUAAAGUUGUAGUUCAUACUCGAACCCGAAUGUCUAGAGCUUCAAUAUAUAAUAUCUUAAAAAAGGGAAUUAUUCCCGUUUUAUUAUUAUUAUAAUGAUAAUGUGGCGAAAUAAAAUAAAACUUAAUACAAUUUUUCUAUACAUUUUUCUUUUGUCCGUAUCUAUCAAAAAACUGUCACCUCCAUUUUCCAAAAUUUCGUCAGCAAAUAAACACGUUAAAAUUUCCAUAUUUUUAAGCAGGGAUGAGAAUUUUUAAAUUAAAAAAUUGUAUUGCUUUUAAUAAUAAUAAUAAAUUUUUUUAAGCCGUAUUUGGAAUAAUUUUUUUUCCAUUCCGGUAUUCGGGAUUUGAAUUUUCUCUUUUAAAUCCCGUAUUUGGGACUUCAAAAUAAACAAAUUUAAUUAAAAUUUUAAUUUAAUUAUUUUUUUAAUAUAUUAAACCAUCUUUCUAAGUAACACGUUCUGCGCGAUAUACAUAUGCAAUUACUCCAAUAUUGUAGCAGACCAUCAGCUGAGCAUCGGCAACAGAAUAUAAAGUUAGUAAAGAGUUGCAGUAUUGCGCUAUUUAUUAUACACCUUGCUUCGAGCGCAUUGUCGCCAUUGACCAGUUGACCGACGAUAGGCUUUCAUGUGGAGAUCAUCUCGAAUAAGUCUUGUGACAUUGAUCGGGUCGAUGGUUUUAACGAGGAUUGCUGCGCAUGCGUUCGCAAACAGUUUUAUGGCUGAAUUGGUUCCAACCACGCGAGGAGGAGCAUUUCUCUUUCUGUCAUCAACUGUAGACGUUUGGGAAAAACGAUGAAUAAUGCGGUAAACAAACAUUAUCUAAAUAUUAAAUUUUUUGAGAAGCUCAUAAAUUUCACAUACGAAUUGUUAUUUUCAGGCAGGUUUCAAAUGAAAAAAAUAGACUGAAUUGUUUAGUUUUAAUCAAUAACACAUUAAUCCGAUAUUUAAUUAAAAUAUUUCUUCUGCUACAACAAAGUUUGAUGUAAUAAAUUUAGUUCUUAUAUGCAGUUUUUAACUGCAAUACACCUCGGAGUAGCCAACAAUCCUUGUACAUAUGGGUCAAGCAGUUCACGACUUCCGGUAUCUGUUGAGUAUCCAAGAACCGCAUUUGGAGCCGACAAAAAUGAGUAAGCGAGCCCUUUGCGGUUGUGCGUCGGAUUUGGGACCCACCAUAUAAAAAAAAAACCUGCCCACGAAAAAUCAACCAAAGCACAGUGGUUCCCCGCAAAGGCCAAAAAUCUGUCUCAGAAUUUUCUGUCAAAAUGUAUACUAAAUUGUCGGAUCUUUUUAUUUCCAAGUCGGUUUUCGCUGAAAAUCGAAAUUAUUUUUGAUGGAUUUUGAAGUUAAAGGUAAUUAUUUUAUCUUAUGAAAUUAAUUAAGACUGAUUUGUUUUUGUGAAAUUAGUGUUUUAAGUCACCUGUUUGUUUGUACCUUUUGUAUGCGUAUCUAAUUUGUUUACAUACAAUUUUAAUUGUGUCCCCUAAAUCCAAAAUUUAAUGAAAAUCUCAUCCAUCGUUGAGCUACUAUACUUCAAGCUAUUGCCUCGUUCAAAAUGAAUUUGGACAAAUUUUAUGAAUAUGUCGAUACUGCUAGGGAGUUGAUUCAAGAGUAUACAUAGUACUAUUUGACGACUACAGGCCAAAAAGAGAAUUUUUGGAAGAAGCUUCAUAGUCGAACAAUAAGGUAUUAAAGAAUAGUAGACUCAAUCACAGCCGAAAAUUGUCACGCAUUAUAACAAACACCGACAUGUUGAAUUCACUUCUUUUAUUGUACGUAAGGACCCAUUUAUAACUGAGCUAAAAAAGCUUAGAAAGAAAGAUUAGUCAAAUUUACUACAACUUUCAACCUACCACAACAGUCAAAAAAUUCAGCAUCCAUUACGAAACAUCCCCAAAUGUGCUGAGGCUGGUCGACUUCGCCUGGGCCCAAAAUAUGGUUGUCUGUAAUAUUAGAUUCCGGUGCAAGAAAAUCCAUCAAGAUAUUUGACUGUCUCCGGUUUGAAAAUCGCGCAACCAAAUCGAUCAUGUUGUUGUAGACGGAAGACACAUUUCCAGUGUUCUAGACGUGCGUAUGUGCAGAGAUCCAAAUAACGACUCGGAUCACUAUCUUGUUGCAGCAAGAACAAGUACAAAGAACCUCUAUUAUCAAAAACCAGGAAGGCUCGACGUCGAAAGCUCCAUCACAACAGAUAGCCGAGUAGUUUUCUACUAGACUUGCACACCUACUAUGUGAGAGCACUCAUUAACAGCAUCUCAAUCACACUACGCACUGCAGCUGCAGACACAGUUGCCUUGGAAGGCAAAAGAGCUGGUACGAUGAGGAUUGUAAUGCGCAAAAAGCAGACUGUAUACCGCGUAACGUUGCGAUCGACCACACACACUUGAAAGGCUGGCCAACAUGGGUAAUGCUGGAAAAUUCUCUGAAAUGAUGCGGCGACUUGCAGAACGGACCCAGAGCAUACUGAAUUUAUUGAUGGAACGCUUUUCCAAUCUGCUGAACGCCAGUGAACAACCGGAGAUGGUGAACCUGAAACCCGGGUCGAACUAUUCAAAUAAGGUGGCGAAGAACUGACGAGGUGCUUCUUAAAUGUCUUCUGCCCAAGAAUGGGGCUCCACAGUCUGCACCAAGUAACGUGGGGUAAGCCUUCUCAACAUAUAACAUAAGGUCCUAACGAGCGUACUGUGUGGGAGAUUAAAGCCUGUUGUUAACGAACUGAUUGGACUUUAUCAGUGUGGCUUCACUAGUAAAUUCAUCAUUGACCAGAUAUUCACUAUACGCCUAAUAUAGGAAAAGACGAGAUAAAAUAAUCGAUACACAUCACCUUUUAAUCGAUUUUAAAGCUACCUCCGACAGCACAGAAAUGAGUUGCCUCUAUGCCGGUAUGUUUGAAAUCGGUAUCCCUGCAAAACUUAUGAGAUUAUGUAAACUGACGCUGGACAGUACCAAAAGCGCAGUCAGAAUUCAGACGAACCUCUCAGAGCCAUUCUAAACGAGGCUUCAGACAAGGACUCGCCUUAUGAUGUAAUUUCUUUAACCUGAUGCUGGAGAAAAUAAUAAAAGCUGCCGAGCUUAAUAGACAAGGCUACAUAAAGAAGCGAAGUGAAUGGGUCUGGACAAGAGGAUAUAUCUACAGCCGUCAAAUAAACAGUCAGCGCAUUCGUGUCUUGGAACCAGCAUCAACAACACUUCUUCUAUUUGGUGCAGAAGCGCGGUCGAUCUCGACUUUCGAACACGAUUUACUAAAAUAAAAUUUAAUAAAAGUAUGAGUCAACAAUGGGGAGCAGAAAGGCAAUAUUGAUUGAAUGUAAAGUGCAGAUGUGUGGUAUUGUAAUAUGUGAAAACAAUGUAACUUGAAUUAUCUUGAAGACACGACUAAUAUAGAAACAGAGAUAAAAUUAACAACAGAA